CUGUGCUACCGUCGUCGUCCAAGCUCGUCACCGCCAGCUACGUCGUCGCUGUCUCUGCCCAGCGCCGCCGCAGAUGAUGGGUUGCCGAGAACUGCCACCGCUGCUGCCGUCUUCGUGGGGCUUGAGUUGUCGCGGUUGCUCCUCAUCGUGAAGCCCGUCGCGAGCGCCGCUGUCAGCAUCAUGCACCCUGGUGCCGUCAAGGAGCCACUGUGACUGCCUCCCUCUCUGCUGCCGAGGUCCUCCACCGCUGGGUACAGAGAAGAGCAGCGCCGCGCGAAUCAAGGAAAGGAGAUGCCUUUCUGCCUCUGCUCCUGGGUCUUGGAAUCCGACUAAACGCCGCUGCCGUUGUUGGAGUUGAUGUUGCUUUGGCCUUGCCCUGGCUCCAUCUUGAACCGUGAGAACUGCUACUGCUGGUAAGUGACGUUGUCGCUGCCUUUACUGGAGAUAGUUGCUGGCUCUGUUUGGAGAUUUCUGUUGCAACUAAUGCUCGUUUUGGGGACUGCUUCAUCUGUUGCUGGAACCACUAACGGAACAGGCUGAGUCACAGUGAUUCUGGCUGCCAAGGGCAAUUUUGUGGCUGUCGAAACCACCGCUGAGGCUUCUGUUCUUUGGUUCAGACGGUAUUCUUUAGUUACAGAUUAAGUUAUCGGAGCCACAUGUUGCGUGUAAGGGUUGUCCUUGCUGCUGCAAGAGUGAACAAAGUUGUGAUGUAAGCUGCCGGUAAAUUCGGGUCGAUUGAGAGUUCCGGUGAUGCGUUUGGGUUAUGGAUUUGCGUUUCGAGGAUAUGGGCGUAGAAGUUACGAAGAGUUUAUUUAGUUGUUGAGAUACUCUGUAUUG